rnacentral:rRNA from 1 species
CCAAUCGAACUCGGAGAUAGCUGGUUCUCCUCGAAAUAGCUUUAGGGCUAGCGUCGUGUUAGUAGCACAUGGGGGUAGAGCUCUGUAAAGGACUGGGGCGGGCAACUGUACCCACCCUUAACAAACUACGAAUACCAUGUGUGUAAUCACGGCAGUUAGAACAUCGGUGCUAAGAUCGGUGCUCAAAAGGGAAACAGCCCAGACCAUCAUCUAAGGUCCCUAAAUUAACGUUCAGUGGGAAACAAGGUGAGAUUUCUUAAACAGCUAGGAUGUUGGCUUAGAAGCAGCCAUUCAUUUAAAGAGUGCGUAACAGCUCACUAGUCAAGAGAUCUUGCGUGGAAAAUGUAACGGGGCUAAAACGUUAUACCGAAGAUAUGGAUUACACGCUAAGUACAAAGUUAAAGUUGUGUUACAAUCAAUUUAUGGAAAAUGAGAUUUACAUAGGUAGCGUUUAUAAACACUAUAAAGGCAAUAAGUAUGUUGUUGUAAGUAUAGCUGUUCAUACUGAGACGCUUGAAGAGCUUGUAGUUUAUCGAGCCAUUUAUGGCGACGGAGAAUUAUGGGCUAGACCUAAGAAAAUGUUUUUGGAUAAUAUUGAAAAGAACGGAAAGAUCAUCCCAAGGUUUAAAUUGAUUAAGAAACUUUGAUUUUGUUCUUAGUGUGUAGUGGUAGAGGAGCGUUCCUAUCAGCAGUGAAGUCGAAUCGGAAGGUUCGGUGGAGCGGUAGGAAGUGAGAAUGCUGGAAUGAGUAACCAUAAGAGAGGUGAGAAUCCUCUCGGCCGUAAGAGCAAGGUUUCCUGAGCCAUGGUAAUCAUCUCAGGGUUAGUCGGGCCUAAGCCGAGGCGCAGAGCGUAGGCGAUGGACAUCAGGUUAAUAUUCCUGAACCGGUUAAGUUUUGUACACUGUUCACGGGGAAGUAAUCGAAGCGGAUUCAUGGUUUAUCCGUCCAACCGAGCGGGAACGCAAAGGGAGUGAAAGUGAUUCUUCGGAGUCGCGAUUUUGGUGAAAGCCCUGGCUAGAAAAGCAGGUGUACGCGUGGACUUAGCCGCCCGUACCGCAAACCAACACAGGUGCUCGAGUCGAGUAGACUCAGGCUUACGAGCGAACCUUCGCUAAGGAACUCGGCAAUACAGCGACCGUAACUUCGGGAUAAGGUCUGCCCCCACUUCGGUGGAUAUCAGCCGCGUUCACUCAGUGAAUAUUAGGUUAAAGAGUACAUUUUUAAUCACAAAACGAAUUUUCUGAGAUAGAGCAAACGAAUUGUUCUUUUGAGCGCGAACCUCUGACGUCUAACGAUGUGGGGGCCGCAGCAAAAGAGCCCACGGAACUGUUUAUCAAAAACACAGGUCUCUGCUAACACGAAAGUGGAUGUAUAGGGGCUGACUCCUGCCCAAUGCUGGAAGGUUAAGGGGAGCGCUUCACGGUGCGAACUGAAGCCCUAGUCAAUGGCGGCGGUAACUAUAACCGUCCUAAGGUAGCGAAAUUCCUUGUCAGGUAAGUUCUGACCCGCACGAAUGGAGUAAUCAUGUGGGCACUGUCUCAGCGAAGGACUCGGUGAAAGUGCAUUGGCGGUAAAGAUGCCGUCUGUCCGUACCAGGACGAAAAGACCCCAUGGAGCUUUACUACAGCUUUACAUUGAAUAUGGUUUCAACAUGUGUAGCAUAGGUGGGAGACUUUGAAGCAGAUACGCCAGUAUUUGUGGAGUCACCAAGUGAAAUACCACCCUUGUUGUGAUUGUGUUCUCACGCUGACCGUUAUCCGGUUAGCGGACCGUGUAUGGUGGGUAGUUUAACUGGGGCGGUUGCCUCCUAAAGAGUAGCGGAGGCGUUCAAAGGUUGGCUAGCUUCGGAUGGAAAUCGAAGUGAUAGUGCAUGCGCAAAAGCCAGCUUGACUGCGAGAAUUACAAUUCGACCAGAGUGGAAACACGGAGCAAGUGACCCGCUGUAAGAACAUUGUUCAUUGAAUGUGGGAUCGACAGCGCACACGGAUAAAAGUUACCCUGGGGAUAACAGGCUUAUCGCGCCCAAUAGUUCACAUAGACGGCGCGGUUUGGCACCUCGAUGUCGGCUCAUCACAUCCUGGAGGGGGAGCACCUUCCAAGGGUUCGGCUGUUCGCCGAUUAAAGUGGUACGCGAGCUGGGUUCAGAACGUCGUGAGACAGUUCGGUUUAUAUCCGGUAUGGACGAUAGGAAACUUGAGAGGAUCUACCCCUAGUACGAGAGGACCGGGGCGGACGCACCUCUGGUGUAUCGAUUGUGGCCACCUGCUGCAUUGUCGAGUAGCUAUGUGCGGACUAGAUAAGCGCUGAAAGCAUAUUAAGCGCGAAACUAACCUCAAGAUAAGGUUUCCCUAUGAGGACACAGAAAGACUAUCUGUUUGAUAGGCGCAAGGUGGAAGUACAGUAAUGUAUGGAGCUAAAGCGUACUAAUAGUCCCAUUGCCUUUUUAUG